rnacentral:rRNA from 1 species
CUACGGGGUGCUGCAGUGGGGAAUAUUGCACAAUGGGCGCAAGCCUGAUGCAGCCAUGCCGCGUGUAUGAAGAAGGCCUUCGGGUUGUAAAGUACUUUCAGCGGGGAGGAAGGGAGUAAAGUUAGUACCUUUGCUCAUUGACGUUACCCGCAGAAGAAGCACCGGCUAACUCCGUGCCAGCAGCCGCGGUAAUACGGAGGGUGCAAGCGUUAAUCGGAAUUACUGGGCGUAAAGCGCACGCAGGCGGUUUGUUAAGUCAGAUGUGAAAUCCCCGGGCUCAACCUGGGAACUGCAUCUGAUACUGGCAAGCUUGAGUCUCGUAGAGGGGGGUAGAAGUCCAGGUGUAGCGGUGAAAUGCGUAGAGAUCUGGAGGAAUACCGGUGGCGAAGGCGGCCCCCUGGACGAAGACUGACGCUCAGGUGCGAAAGCGUGGGGAGCAAACAGGAUUAGAUACCCCUGUAGUC